GACAGAGGGGGCAAGCGUUGCUCGGAAUUACUGGGCGUAAAGGGUGUGUAGGCGGUUGUUUAAGUUUGGUGUGAAAUCUCCCGGCUCAACUGGGAGGGUGCGCCGAAUACUGAAUGACUUGGAGUGCGGGAGAGGAAAGUGGAAUUCCUGGUGUAGCGGUGAAAUGCGUAGAUAUCAGGAGGAACACCGGUGGUGUAGACGGCUUUCUGGACCGUAACUGACGCUGAGACACGAAAGCGUGGGUAGCAAACAGG
rnacentral:rRNA from 1 species